GUGUCAGCCGCCGCGGUAAUACGGAGGAUGCAAGCGUUAUCCGGAAUCAUUGGGCGUAAAGCGUCCGCAGGUGGCACUUCAAGUCUGCUGUCAAAGGUCGGGGCUUAACUCCGAACAGGCAGUGGAAACUGAAGUGCUCGAGUGCGGUAGGGGCAGAGGGAAUUCCUGGUGUAGCGGUGAAAUGCGUAGAGAUCAGGAAGAACACCGGUGGCGAAAGCGCUCUGCUAGUCCGCAACUGACACUGAGGGACGAAAGCUAGGGGAGCGAAAGGGAUUAGAUACCCCUGUAGUCCUAGCUGUAAACGAUGGAGACUAGGUGUGGCCUGUAUCGACCCGGGCCGUGCCGGAGCUAACGCGUUAAGUCUCCCGCCUGGGGAGUACGCACGCAAGUGUGAAACUUAAAGGAAUUGACGGGG
rnacentral:rRNA from 1 species